UACGUAGGGGGCAAGCGUUGUCCGGAAUCAUUGGGCGUAAAGAGCGUGUAGGCGGUUCGGUAAGUCUGCUGUGAAAGUCCAGGGCUCAACCCUGGGAUGCCGGUCGAUACUGCCGGACUAGAGUUCGGAAGAGGCGAGUGGAAUCCCGGUGUAGCGGUGAAAUGCGCAGAUAUCGGAAGGAACAUCAGUGGCGAAAAGCGACUCCUGGACCAAUACUGACG
rnacentral:rRNA from 1 species